rnacentral:rRNA from 1 species
UGGGGAAUAUUGCACAAUGGGGGAAACCCUGAUGCAGCGACGCCGCGUGAGCGAAGAAGGUUUUCGAAUCGUAAAGCUCUGUCCUAUGAGAAGAUAAUGACGGUAUCAUAGGAGGAAGCCCCGGCUAAAUACGUGCCAGCAGCCGCGGUAAUACGUAUGGGGCGAGCGUUGUCCGGAAUUAUUGGGCGUAAAGGGUACGUAGGCGGUCUAUUAAGUCAGGUGUGAAAGCGUGAGGCUUAACCUCAUUAAGCACUUGAAACUGAUAGACUUGAGUGAAGGGGAGGAAAGUGGAAUUCCUAAUGUAGCGGUGAAAUGCGUAGAUAUUAGGAGGAAUACCGGUGGCGAAGGCGACUUUCUGGACUUUUACUGACGCUCAGGUACGAAAGCGUGGGGAGCAAACAGG